CCACUGCUGAGGAGUUCCACAGACGGACGAAACGGCCGUCCAGUGC
rfam:Schistosoma mansoni strain Puerto Rico chromosome 6, complete genome